AUGGGGGAUACAAAGUGAAUAAAGUGUAAUUAAUAAAAAUAAAAAUAAAAAAUAAAAAAAUAAAAAAAUCCAUCUAUACCACUACUAGGCAUAUAUCCAAAAGAUGUUCAAGUACACAACAAGGACAUUUGUUCAACCAUGUUCAUAGCAGCUUUAUUUGUAAUUUCCAUAACCUGGAAACAACCCAGAUGUCCCUCAAGGAGGAAUUGAUACAGAAAUUAUUAUUCCUUUACACAACGGAAUACUACUCAGCAAUUAAAAACAAGGCAAUCCUGUUAGACCAACACCAUUUGUUGAAGAGGCUGUCUUUUUUUUUUUUUUCCAUUGAAUGGUUUUGGCAUCUUUGUCAAAAAUCAGGUGUCCAUAAGUGUGUGUAGUUAUAUCAGGGUCUUCUAUUGAAUUCCAUUUAUCCACCAGUUGGUUUCUAUGCCCGUACCAUGCAGUUUUUAUAACUGUUGCUCUAUAGUACAACUUGAGAUCAGGUUUUGUGAUCUACCUCCAGAAGAUCUUUUAUUGUAGAGGAUUAUUUUAGCAAUUCUGGGUUUCUCUUUAUUCCAUAUGAAGUUGAGAAUUUUUCCUUCAAAGUCUGGAAAUAAUUGUGUUGGUAACUUGAUGGGAAUUGCAUUGAAUCUGUAGAUUGCUUAGAUAGCCAUUUUUACUAUAUUAAUCCUGCUAAGCCAUGAGCAUGGGAGAUCUUUCCAUCUUCCGAUAUCUUCUUCUAAUUAGUUGUUCAGAGACUGGAUAUUUUUUGUUUUCAUAUAAGUCUUGGACUUGAUUGGUUAGGUUCACACCAAGGUACUUUAUGUCCUUUGUGGCUAUUGUGGAAAGUGUUGUUUCCUUAAUUUCUUUCUCAUGCCUUUUGUCUCUUGUAUACAGAAGGAAUAUGAUUUUUUUUAGUUAAUUUUAUAUCCAGCCCAUUUGCUGAAGAUGUUUAUCAGCUGUAAGAGUUCCCUGAUAGAGUUUUUGGGUCACUCAGGUAUACUAUCAUAUCAUGUAGAAAAAUGCAAAUUGAUCCAUAAUUAUCACCCUGCACAAAACUAAAGCCCAAGUGGAUCAAAGACCUCAACAUAAAACCAGACACACUAAACCUAUUAAAAGAAAAUUUAAGGAAGAGUCUGGAACUCAUUGGCACAAGAGACAACUUCCUGAACAUAAAACCAACAGCACAAGCUCUAAGAGCUACAAUCAAUAAGCUGGACCUCAUGAAACUAAAAAGUUUCUGAAAAGCAAAGGACAUUGUCCUCUGAACAAAACAUCUGCCUACAGACUGGGAAAGGUUCUUCACCAAUCCUAUAUCUGACAGAGGGCUAAUAUUCUGAAUACAGAACAAAGAAAAAUACUAAAAGCUGCAAGGGAAAAAGGCCAAGUAACAUAUAAUGGCAAACCCAUUAGAAUCACACCUGACUUUUCAACAGAGACUAUAAAAGGCAUAAGUGUCUGGACAGAUAACAUGCAGACGCUAAGAGAACACAGAUGUCAGCCCAGGCUACUAUACCCUGCAAAACUCUCAGUCCUCAUAGACAGAGAGAACAAGAUAUUCAAUGACAAAAACUAAUUUCAACAAUACUUACAAACAAAUCCAGCAUUACAGAAGACACUGGAAGGGAAAAUACAACACCUAAAAAAUAACUUAUUUCAAGAACACACAGGAAAUAAAUAGCCUUACUACAGUAAAACAAAAAGCAACCAAGCACACAACCUGAUGACCACAGCCAACAUCGAAUUCAAAGGAUCUAACAGCCACUGGUAAUUAAUCUCUCUCAACAUCAAUGGACUCAACUCUCCAGUAAGAAGACACAGAUUAACAGAAUGGAUACGUAAACAAAACCCAUCAAUCCGUUCCAUACAAGAAACACCCCUAAGGCACAAAGAUAGACAUUACCUGAGGGUAAAAGUUUGGAAGAAAACUUUCCAAGCAAAUGGACCCAAGAAACAAGCAGGAGUAGCCAUUCUAAUAUCUGAUAAAAUACACUUUCAACCAAAAUUAAUAAAAAGAGAUGGGGAAGGACACUGCAUACUCAUUAAGGGAAAAUUCCACCAGGAAGACAUCACAAUCCUCAACAUCUAUACCCCAAAUACAAGAACACAUAUAGAUCCCCACACAUUAAUAGUGGGAGCCUUCAACACCCCACUCUCAACAAAGGACAGGUCAACAAAACAGAAAUUAAACAAAGAAACAAUAUCUCUGACAGAGGUCAUGAUUCAAAUGGACCUCACAGACAUUUACAGAACUUUACACCUAAACACAAAAGAAUUUAUGUUCUUCUCAGGACCUCAUGGAACCUUCUCCGAAAUAGACCAUAUAGUUGGUCACAAAGCAAGCCUCAACAGAUACAAGAAGAUUGAAAUAAUCCCUUGUAUCUUGUCUGAUCACCAUGGAAUAAAACUGGACCUCAACAACAACAGAAAUAGCAAAAAGCCUACACACACAUGGAAACUGAACAAUUUGUUACUAAAUGACAACUGCAUCAGGGAAGAAAUAAAGAAAGAAAUUAAAGUCUUCCUAGAACUCAAUGAAAAUGAAGACACAACAUACCCAAACUUGUGGGACAUAAUGAAAGCAGUGCUAAGAGGAAAGUUCAUAGCACUAAGUGCCUUCAAGAAGAAAUUUGAAACCUCUCAUGCCAGCGACUUAAUGGCUCACAUAAAAGCCCUAGAAAAAAAAAAGCAGACACACCAAAGAGGAGUAGACAGCUGGAAAUAAGCCCAGGGCCAGAUGAUUUCAGUGCAGAAUUCUACCAGACAUUCAAAGAAGAGCUAACUCUAGGUCUCUUCAAACUGUUCCACAAAAUAGAAACAGAAGGAAGAUUACCAAACUCAUUUUAUGAAGCCACAGUCACCUUGGUACCUAAACCACACAAAGACCCAACAAAGAAGGAGAAUUUCAGGCCAAUCUCCCUUAUGAACAUUGAUGCAAAAACACUCAACAACAUACUUGCGAACUGAACACAAGAACAUAUCAAAGAUAUCAUCCACUAUAACCAAGUAGGCUUCAUCUCAGGAAUGCAGGGGAGGUUCAAUGUAUGGAAAUCCAUCAAUGUGAUCCACCAUAUUAACAAACUGAAAGAAAAAAAAACACAUGAUAAUCUCCCUAGAUGCUGAAAAAGCAUUUGACAAAAUCCAACAUCCAUUCAUGUUUAAAGUCUUAGAGAGAGCAGGGAUACAAGGCACCUAUCUAAACAUAGUAAAGGCAAUAUACAGGAAGCCUAUAGCCAACAUUAAACUGAAAGGAGAGAACAUUAAAGCAAUCCCAUUGAAAUCAGGGACAAGAGAAGGCUGCCCACUCUCUCCAUAUCUCUUCAACAUAGUGCUGGAAGUCCUUGCUAGAGCAAUAAGACAGUUGAAGCAGAUCAAGGGGAUACAGAUUGGAAAGGAAGAAGUCAAAUUAUCGCUAUUUGCAGAUGAUAUGAUAGUAUACAUGAGUGACCCCAAAAACUCUACUAGGGAACUCCUACAGCUGAUAAACACCUUCAGCAAAGUGGCCAGGUACAAAAUUAACUCAAAAAAAUCAGUAGCACUCAUGUAUACAAAAGACAAAAGGGCUGAGAAAGAAAUUAGAGAAACAACACCCUUCACAAUAGCCACAAAUGACAUAAAGUACCUUGGUGUAACCCUAACCAAGCAAGUCAAAGACUUGUAUAAAAAAAAUUUCAAGUCUCUGAAGAAAGAAUUAGAAGAAGAUAUGAGAAGAUGGAAAGAUCUUCCAUGCUCAUAGCUUGUCAAGAUUAAUAUAGUAAAAAUGGCUAUCUUACCAAAAGCAAUCUACAGAUUCAAUGCAAUUCCCAUCAAAUUGCCAACAAUUCUUUACAGACCUGGAAAGAAAAAUUCUCAACUUCAUAUGGAAUAACAAUUAAUGCCAUUACGUGCACUAUUGAUAAGCUCUUAAAAUUAUAAAAGGAAUAUAUUUAACAAAAAGAUAAUUUAAUCAUAGAGAUAAUAGAUGGCUCAUAAUAUUUGUUUCACUGAACUAUCCCCCAGGAUGGUAGCAUAUUGCAUGUGAUUUAUGAGUGAGUUGCUAUCAAGUACUAUUUAUAAAUAAAAUGAUCACUUGCUUUCCUGCUGAAUAUCAAAUUUAAGCUUAUAAAAGUUUCAAUGUGUUAAAAUAUAGAAGAGUAAGAGUUUAUGUACUAGAAGUUUUACAAAAAUGAAAAUAACAUACACUGAUGUGCUUAAAUAUCGUAAAGCAAAAGUAAUGCUUAUUUGAAAUUUGACUUUUGAGAAAAUAAUAAACUUGAAUUAAUUAUGUAAAAAAAAAAAAAAAAAGAAACCCAGAAUUACUAAAACCAUCCUCUACAAUAAAAGAUCUUCUGGAGGUAUCUCUAUCCCUGAUCUCAAGCUGUACUACAGAGCAAAAAAUGCAUGGUACUUGAACAGAAACAGAAUGGUGAAUCAAUGGAACCAAACAGAAGACCCAGAAAUAAACCCACACACUUAUGGACACCUGAUUUUUGACAAAGAUGCCAAAAUCAUACAAUGGAAAAAAGAUAACAUCUUCAUCAAAUGGUGCUGGUCCAACUGGAUGUCUACAUGUAGAAAAAUGAAAAUAGAUCCAUACUUAUCACCCUGCACAAAACUGAAGUCCAAGUGGAUCAAAGACCUAAACAUAAAACCAGACACAUUAAAUCGGCUAGAAAAAAUAGGGGGGGAAUACCCUAGAACUCAUUGGUACAGGAAAAAACUUCCUAAACAGAACACCAACUGCACAGGCUCUAAGAGCAACAAUCAAUAAAUGGGACCUCAUGAAAUUGAAAAGCUUCUGUAAAGCAAAGGACACCGUAAUCAAAACAAAGCGACUGCCUACCAAUUGGGAAAGAAUCAUCAGCAACCCUUUAUGUGACAGAGGACUCAUAUCAAGUAUAUAUAAAGAACUAAAGAAGCUGAAAAGCAGCAAACCAAGUAAUCCACUUAAAAAAUGGGGAACAGACCUAGACAGAGAAUUCUCUGUAGAGGAAUAUUGAAUGGCAGAGAAGCACUUAAAGAAAUGCUCAACCUCAUUAGCCAUUAGGGAAAUGCAAAUCAAAACAACCCUGAGAUUUCACCUUACACCCAUCAGAAUUGCCAAGAUGAAAAACUCCAGUGACAACACAUGCUGGAGAGGUUAUGGAGAAAGGGGAACCCUUCUCCACUGCUUGUCGGAAUGUAAACUUGUACAACCACUCUGUAAAUCAAUCUGGCACUUUCUCAGACAACUAGGAAUAGUGAUUCCUCAAGAUCCAGCCAUACCACUCCUAGGUAUAUAUCCAAAAGAGGCUCAAGUACACAAAAAGUUCAAUUGCUCAACCAUAUUUGUAGCAGCUUUAUUUGUAAUAGCCAGAAGCUGGAAACAGCCCAGGUGCCCCUCAACUGAAGAAUGGAUGCAGAAACUGUGGUGCAUUUAUACAAUGGAGUAUUAUUCGGCAAUGAAAAAUAAGGAAAUCAUGAAAUUUGCAGGUAAAUGGUGGGACCUAGAGUUCCUGUUUUCCUCCCUAAAUUCUAUGUCUCCAGGAAUUUUUCAGUUUGUGUUUUCUUUAAUGUUUCUAUUUCCAACUUGAGAUAUUAUACUGUUUUUUCCCCUUUACAUGUUUGUUUGUACUUUCCUAUAUUUCAUUUAGUGAUUUAUUUAUUUCCUCUCUAAAGGCCAUGAGCUAUUUUACUGUGCUUUAAUUUAUUUCUUUACGGAUUUUAUUUGUUUCCUCGUUUAUUAACUUCUCAAGCAUAGAUUUAAGAUCAUUUUCUGUGUUUCAGUUGAGAUAGGGUAUUCAAGGCUGCUUGACUCAGGAUAACUGGGUUCUGGAAUGCCAUAUUGUUUUUCCUUUUGUUGAUUAUGUUUUUACAUGAUCAUUUUUCCAUCUGGUUGUCCCUGGCCUUGGCUGUUAGAUCCUGUUGCUAUUGUUCUUGGCAAUGAAGGAAGAGCUUUGGACAGGAAGCUGGAUGUCCUGCAAGAACUCUUCUCAGUUUGGUGGGAAUGAUUGUGCAUUGGUGGGUAGAUCUGAGAGACCUGCCUAAAGCUCUCCUCAGAUGUGUAUCCUGGGUUGCAAGUGGAUUCCUCAGGAACUCAGAGAUCCUCCAGUUGCCAAGGGAAGUCCUCAAGUCAACUGCCCCUCUACUGGCUUUCUUGCUACAAGAUCAGGAAUCAAAGAAGAAGAAGGAGAAGAGGAGGAGAAACAAAUGGAGGAGGAGGUGGAGCAUGAACUUGGAAGGGGACACUCUCUACUAAUGACUCAGGCCACAGUCUUCUUCAUGAUCGAAAGCUACAUUCUUUGAAAGACUUUAAUGUGACACAAGUAUCUGAAUACUCCACUACCAACAGAAUCUAUGUUCAUGAGAUCUAUUACAGUUAACACAGAAAGAGUGGGAUAACCAAAAUACAAGACUUCAGUGGAACAAUGUUUACCAAUGAGACAAGAUAUGAGGAAGAGACCCAGAAGUGCAGAAAGCAGUCUACAAACAUACACCUUUGUGCUUUGAUUUUUAAGAGAAAAAGAAUGUGACAGUGGGGGAAUCCAAGAUGGUGGAUACUAGUGUACAGUGCAUCUGAGGGGUACAGGAUCUGAAACUCCAAAAUUGGUUAUCUGAGCCUGCCAGGAGCCACUGCCAGCUAGUGGAAAGAUACAGACAGCUGCAACAAGGUUGUGGUCAUGUCUAGUAAUUAUAAAAAUAACAAACAGAGAGGAUCCAAGAUGGUGGUUCUGGGAGGACACACAUACUUCCUGACCAGCAGCACAGCAGGAUCUGCACAGUGGCCAGCAGACAGAACUCUGGGCCCUAAAACACCAGCGAUUGUGUUUCCCAGAAAACCAGCAUCAACCUGACCAUUGUCAGAAAGAACAGCAACAGGAAGAAGCAGAAGCCAUUCCACUUUACUAGUCCUGAGAAUCCUGAACAGAGCACAGGGAAUCUUAUGGAAGACGGGGGAUACAAAAGAACCCAGAGGGGACAGGAGCCACACAAGGAGACCCACAAAACUGAAAAAAGCAGGCCCCAGAGGGGACUGCAGAGAAAGAUACAUUCACCAAAGACCAUAUAUAAAAAGGACCUAGACCCCCUGUUCAGAUGUAACCCAUAGAUAGCUUAGUAAACAUGUGGGUUUCCCAGUAAGGGGAGAAGAGGCAGUCUCUAAUAUGAACUCUAUUGCCUGUUCCAUUUAUCAUUUCUGCCUGGUGUGGUGACUUUGGCAGCCCACAGAGGAAGAGGAUCCAGGCAGUUCUGAUGAGACGUGAUAAGCUAGAGUCAGACAGUAGGGGAAGAGACCUUCCACUAUUCAGUGGACUACAGAAGAGGUGUAGGGGAGGAAGAGAGAGGGAGGGUGAAACCAGGAGGAGAUGAAGGAGGGGGCUACAA